AGCCUCGUACAAAAAACGGUUUUGGUCUCUGUAGCUAUGACAAUUGUAUGGUGGAUGAAUUUUUAUAUUACUCAAAAGUUAACAUUUGUUAUUAUUAUUUAAAUUAUUCAUAAUUGAGCUGGUGGCCGCUUUGAGUGACAGGUGUAUGACGUCAUAGUGGGCUAACCGCUCGGUGUUUAGCCGUUAACCGUCGGCUGUGUUUGUGAUGCUGUCGUCUUUUGGGGGAUUUUCCAUGUUAAUAUCGGAUAAAUAAAACGGCUUGCUGUGCGGUUUAUUGACGAACACAGCGUGGGGAAGUCUGGGCUCCUGUUUUUUUUUCUUUCUAGUGUUAAACGUUAGCACUAAUUAGCAGGUUUUGUUGUCCGUGUUAACUAUCCUUGGCUUGUUAGCUUAGCUCGUUAACUCGCUAAUCAGCCAGUGAAUGAAUUAGCCUCGGGUUAGCCUUCAAGCAAGACGCUCAGAUGCUAACGGGAGUGUAUGGUUUCCACAGGUAUUAAACCGACGUGCACCGAAGUCUCAACUCCACCACACACGCUCUAUUUCUUUGCCCUUUUUUUUUUUUGGAUUAUCCGUUAAUCGGAGUCAGGCGUUAUCAAGAUGGCGACUCCCUACUCUGAGAUUCUAAACUGCUCUUCUGAAACCUAUGGGAGACGUCACAGAGGAUACGUCCAUUUUUACCUACAGUCGCCCAUAACAGGCAAGCCGUCUGACCAUGCUGGCACCUAGUCCCUACAUCUACCCACACAAGCGGGGCCAUUUCUGGGGCCAGAAUACAGGCCUGGGAAUCGGUGAGCGACGAAAGAAAAGAGGCCAUCACCCAGACCAGAGAGGAGAUCGGCUCGGGCAGGUAAUGACAGAACGCAGAAACGUGACCAGGAGGCUGGUAAAACACAGACUGGGGCCCGACGGCUGCAGCCUGACAUGGAUUGAGGAUGUUGUGGGAUUCCGACAAGCAGGACUGUGCCCACAACGUCAGUGCCAGGACCGAAGGUGGUGGUGAUGGACCAAAAAAUGCAGCAAUGAGCCGACAGAGGCAGGAAAGAAGAAGAAGAGUGUGAGCCAGUUCUUAUGACACAAUGCAGAAAAAACAAACCCGCGUACACCUCCAUUACCCUCCAUCCUCCGUCUGUUUUCCUGCCCCAGGAGAGCUAAUGGGUCAGGGAGGGGGUUAUUUAGUAUGGCACAAGAGGGAGAAGGAGCUCUGCGAUCCCAUCAAAGCUUAGCAUAAAAUCUCCCACUCGCACACACAUCACACAUGUAAACACACCACACACACACGCCCACAAAUAGAGGAUAUGAAGGAGAGAUCAAUCUGUCUUAUGGAGCCAUUGCUGAAAGAACAACAGAUCCCAGGG